CAGUCGACUGAAAGCAGGCGUGCUGAUUAUGAACAUUCGCUACGAAGAAAGCUUCCAAAGAGCAACGGAAUACUGCGCCUAUUAACGCUUCACCGUAGCUGCAAGAACGCUCUGAAGAAAACGACCGUACCUGCCGGGUAUACCUUGAUAGUUCUCAAGUUAUGACCUUAAGGGACUUGAAUGCGUUGACUAGGGCCCUCAGCAGAGUAGAUUAUUGGGAAAUACACCGCAUGAGCAACGCGCGUAUCCUUGACAACUUUAGCAUUUUGGGGAUGCCAACGAAGCAAGAGAUGAUUGAUCGAGUGCGUGCACACCUGCAAGCAAUACACGUGCCGACGCGCCGGCUUCAACUUCUGGCUGCGGCGUAUUGUUGGCUUGCAGGCCCAAGCGACGUGCUUUCACCGUGGGAGCUGUAUCGUCUCAACUCGCUCAACGUGAAUUUAACCGACUUUGACCUACAUGAGCGCAUUGGGAGAGAGCUGGGAAUUCAAGGUUGUCCUGGAAGCAUUUGUUGUCGAGGGCCGAAGCAAGGUCGCCCGCUAUGCGUGCAUUGUAGUACCGGACAUCGUUCCCACGAUUGAGCACUGCGUCAUCUGUGUUGCGUCUGGAACAGUCCUGACCUACGUGGCUGUCUGGGCAUCCGAGUCGGUGGGUAGGGAACAUCUUCGUUCUGCCCUUGCUACAACACUCUGCGGUAAUCCCGAGAACAUGCGGAUUGGUUCCUUCGAGACCCUUUCAAAGGCAUAUAUAGCAGCCCGUUGCAAUGAGGUGGCCAAACAGGCCAAGUCCUAAGCCAUGCAAUACCACUCCACGGCGACUUUUGGAAUCACGGACAUCUGAAGGGUUCUGACGUAUGCCAUAUUGAGAGGCGGUGCACUCCGGUAUGCGAUGGCGACAAUGUCAGCGAGCUGCGAAAUCCUCGCGCAUGGGCUGUGAUGCAUCCCACCGGUUCACCUUGCAGCAGUGCCUGGAUCUUCACACAAGAGGAUGGCUUAGUCUUGCUUGCUACUGGCAUGUUCGUCUCAGUAUGAAGGGAAACUUUCGGCAUAAGCUUUGCAGCUUCUCUGUAACUAUUCGCUAUCGCUGACAAACACGCAGAAUGUGUGCGCAAAGAGCAUGAAGAAAUUUAUCACAAGAACUGCAAGUAUACUUUGACCAGAUUUUAUUCUUUUUAUACAAAUUUAAUUUCUUUUCCGGUUAUUCUAUGUAUGCGCAGAAAAUCAUAAUCACUUUUACUUUGUUUUCCGGAAGUUGCUUAGUAGAACGCACGCUUAAGAAGUUCUGCAUGAAAUAUUUAUUAUUGGAACUAAGUGCUUUUGCGAAAACUGUACCGUCCUCGUGUGUAAUAAAGCACUAGCUGAUA